UACGGAAGGCAGCAGUGGGGAAUAUUGCACAAUGGGCGCAAGCCUGAUGCAGCCAUGCCGCGUGUAUGAAGAAGGCCUUCGGGUUGUAAAGUACUUUCAGUCGUGAGGAAGGUGUUAAGGUUAAUAACCUUAGCAAUUGACGUUAGCGACAGAAGAAGCACCGGCUAACUCCGUGCCAGCAGCCGCGGUAAUACGGAGGGUGCGAGCGUUAAUCGGAAUUACUGGGCGUAAAGGGCACGCAGGCGGUUAAUUAAGUUGGAUGUGAAAUCCCCGGGCUUAACCUGGGAAUGGCAUUCAAGCUGGUUAGCUAGAGUCUUGUAGAGGGGGUAGAAUUCCAUGUGUAGCGGUGAAAUGCGUAGAGAUGUGGAGGAAUACCGGUGGCGAAGGCGGCCCCUGGACAAAGACUGACGCUCAUGUGCGAAAGCGUGGGGAGCGAAACAGGGAUUUAGAUACC
rnacentral:rRNA from 1 species